GCAUCAGCCACGGCGCGGUGAAUACGUUCCCGGGCCUUGUACACACCGCCCGUCAAGCCAUGGAAGCCGGGAGUGCCUGAAGUGCGUGAGCGCAAGCAGCGCCCUAAGGUAAAACCGGUGACUGGGGCUAAGUCGUAACAAGGUAGC
rnacentral:rRNA from 1 species